UACGUAGGUGGCAAGCGUUGUCCGGAUUUAUUGGGUUUAAAGGGUGCGUAGGCGGUCUUAUAAGUCAGUGCUGAAAUAUCCCGGCUUAACCGGGGAGGGUUGGCCAUUGAUACUGUAGGACUUGAGUAAAGUUGAGGUUGGCGGAAUUGACGGUGUAGCGGUGAAAUGCUUAGAUAUCGUCAAGAACACCUAUAGCGAAGGCAGCUAACUAAACUUAACUGACGCUGAGGCACGAAAGUGUGGGGAUCAAACAGG
rnacentral:rRNA from 1 species